CUGAGGGAAGCCUGGCACCUUCACACAUCCCCCUGCGCUGGUGGGCGCUGGGCCCCCGCGGCCACUCCGGGGAUUGGCCACCCACGCGGGGGCCGGGGGAGGGGGCGGCUGGACCCCCGCAGACCCGGCAGAAGCCGACACGUCGGGGGGGACACAGGCCGAGCAGGAGCAGAAUGAGCUGAGGAAUGGGGCGGGGGGCCGGGCGGCUGGGGCAUAGAGCCCCCCGGACACAACACCUGCUGCCCUGAGGGGUCUCCCUGCGUCGGCUCAGCCAGCCAUUCCCGUGGCCUUGUGACCGCGCGGCUGAUUUUCCCUCGGGCCACAGAUGAGGAAAGCGGGGCGUGAGGGAAACGGAGGCCCAGAGACGCCAAGAGACCGGCUCAGGCCACCCAGCUUCUGAGUGGCGGAACCAGCCCCCCACAAGGCUCUCCCACCUCCUGGCCCUCCGCGGUUCCACUGGCGCCCUUGAAAUUCGCCCUGACGUCUGAGCACACGCCCUACUGCCCUGCCAGGCCGUCCGGGGACACCCGACCCAGGACACACUCCUGUGAAUGGGGAAGGACGAGCAGCCGUCACCGUCGCCUUGGGCAGCCCCUGUCUGGAGAGGAAGAGCACAGGACGAGCAAGAGACAAAGAAAAGCCCGGGAGAUGGACAGCCGGGUGUCAGGGAAGAGCCCCCGCCUACUUCCCACUCCCCUGCCUGCAGGUGGGCC